UGACAGGCUCCAUUUUUGCAAUGUUGUGGUUGCCUAUAAUACAGUGUUACAGCAAAAGCACUGGUGAAGGUCCGGCUGAGGGUGAAGCAUGCAUGCUUACUGCAGGAUGGUGGACAGUCUGGAGGCCUUCAGCUUCAUAUGGACAGCAGGGGGAUUAUUGUGUACAAUGGGGGACAACCAAGGUCUGGUUUUAUUCUUCUAAUUGUUCCCACUUUCUUAAACUUUCUUCUAACUUUGUAUAAACUAAUUCAAGCUCAUCAGAAGUUGUUUUUCUGUAAUUUAUUUAAAUCAUUUUGAGCUGACUGAAGUUUUUUUCAGCGUGUGGUGGGAAUCCAGCUCGGCCUGUCUAUUGGAAAGUUUUGUACUUGAAGUUAUCACUUCCUCUCUCUCUCCAUGGGAACUUGCUCACAUUUUUCCCCCCUCUCUCUUUCUCCUCUCCUGGAAAGCAAACCAACUGUGUCAAUAAAGUCUCUCAGUGAAUAUGCUUCUGGGUAUAUAUAUAUAUAUAUGUGUGUGUGUGUGUGUGUGUUUGCGCUUGUUUGGUAGCGCUCCUCCAGCCAACACCAGGUGAUGUGGCCUGGUACGGAAGGUCACUGCUGUGAUGUCACUUCCCCUUCCUCUCCGGAUAUUCCCCAGCAUUAUACUGACAACAGUCGGGAACUCUGGGAACUAACAGCAGGAUGCCUGGCUCCUUAACAGGAGGCAGAGAGAGCCAGUAGUGGUGAUGUUAUGUGGUUAUUUUUGCAGCAUUAAAUGACUCAUUUGCUGUAAAAACUAACUAACAAACAAACACAAGCAGUGAGGAAUGAGUUAAAAAGGAAGUCGAUGAACUAAUGGCACAGAAAUGAGGAAGGUGCUGUUGCAUAUUGUUUGUGUUUUUUAAUGUAUAAAGGUGUGUGCAUGCAUCUGAUGAAGAUCGUGUGAAUAAUCUGUAAAUAAAGCAGUAUCGCCCCCUU